GUAUGGGGCACAGAGGUUUCAGAAAUGCACACAGGACAAAACACUUGGUUUCUGACUAAAGCCCAAGCGCUGAGAAACCAGGGUGCACGGUGAAGAAAGAUGGCUGGGGCUUGGAAGUUGAAGCUCUAGUAGUCUGAAGGUCAUACUCCUAUUCUGGCAGCACACAAUUACCCAGACGGAAGAGAAGCAGGAGCUGUACCCCUUUCCAAGGCACAGUGGGGCAGCUGAGGCUACGAACUGACACGAGCGGUAAUGGCAUCACCUCCUCAGGAACAACUGAAGGUCAACAGGCCACCAGGCUCAGGAUGAAGAUAGGACUGUACCCCAUCCUCUUCUGAGAGUCCAUCUGCAUUGCAAGUUUAGAAAAACCACUUUUUGGUUGACUGCUCCUUGUUAUGUGUAGGCUGGGCUGUGGGAAACUGUCAGGCUUUGAAGAAAACUCAUGGUUUUCUAGUGUCUGAGAACCAGACACUCCCUUCUCUACAGAAAAUGAAGGUGGCCAUAAGCACUGGCCAAGAAAAAUUUGCAUCAGUGGGUGU